UUAGAGCAUGCGCAACAAGCAAUGUUUUGAAUUUGUGCUGACAUCGGUUGGCUCCAGCUAACUGGCGAAGAAUUUGCUGAAACUGGGAAAAGAAGCAGAAACUGCUUGCAUUUUCACCUCUGGACAAAGACACUAAGGACAAGUGUUUGUGGCAACUGCCUUCUCUGAACAGCGGUCUCAUCAGCACAGGCCUCAGUACACUGGAGAUUUAAGAGGACACUUCACACCCUACAGCCCCUAAAAU